UGGCGAACGGGUGAGUAACACGUGAGUAACCUGCCCCUUACUUUCCUGGAUAACUGCUCGAAAGGGUAGCUAAUACGGGAUAUUCUGACCUGCCUGCAUGGGUUGGUUUGGAAAGGUUAUUUUUUCUGGUAAGGGAUGGGCUCGCGGCCUAUCAGCUUGUUGGUGGGGUGAUGGCCUACCAAGGCUUUGACGGGUAGCCGGCCUGAGAGGGUGGACGGUCACACUGGGACUGAGAUACGGCCCAGACUCC
rnacentral:rRNA from 1 species